CCUACGGGAGGCAGCAGUGAGGGAUAUUGCGCAAUGGGCGAAAGCCUGACGCAGCGACGCCGCGUGGGCGAGGAAGGCCUUCGGGUUGUAAAGCCCUUUUGGCAGGGAAGAGCAAGGACUGUACCUGCAGAACAAGUCACGGCUAACUACGUGCCAGCAGCCGCGGUAAAACGUAGGUGGCGAGCGUUAUCCGGAAUCACUGGGCGUAAAGGGCGUCUAGGCGGUCGGGUAAGAGAGACGUGAAAGGUUGAAGCUCAACUUCAAGAUUGCCCCCAAUACUGCCAGGCUUGAGUGUCGGAGAGGAGAAUGGAACUACCAGUGUAGCGGUAAAAUGCGUUGAUAUUGGUAGGAACACCAGUGGCGAAGGCGGUUCUCUGGACGACAACUGACGCUGAGGGACGAAAGCCAGGGGAGCGAACGGGAUUAGAUCCCCCUGUAGU
rnacentral:rRNA from 1 species